rnacentral:tRNA from 1 species
AAGAAAGUCUAUUGAACUGCUAACUCAACACACCGUACUUAACAGUACGGCUUUCUUA